rnacentral:lncRNA from 1 species
GGAAGAUCAAUUGGGAAAGUCCACAAUCACAUGGCAAAAUCAAAUAACAAAACGCAUCAAAAACGAAUGAACAAGAACUGUCAUAUUCCUGACUUGGUACAGGCAUUUUCAAAUGUAGAAAAUGGUGGAUUAAACCUGGUUCUAUAGCGCUAACCCUCUCACUUUAAUGACAGUCUCAUCAAUUUCCGAUAUUUUUACAUUGAUGCGUUAAAUAAACAGACACAAUAAAUAUAAUAGUCAAAAUAUGGG